UACAGAGGUCUCAAGCGUUGUUCGGAUUCAUUGGGCGUAAAGGGUGUGUAGGUGGCGCCGUAAGUCGGGUGUGAAAUUUCGGAGCUUAACUCCGAAACUGCAUUCGAUACUGCGGUGCUUGAGGACUGGAGAGGAGACUGGAAUUCAUGGUGUAGCAGCGAAAUGCGUAGAGAUCAUGAGGAAGACCAGUGGCGAAGGCGGGUCUCUGGACAGUUCCUGACACUGAGACACGAAGGCCAGGGAGCAAACGGG
rnacentral:rRNA from 1 species